rnacentral:rRNA from 1 species
ACGAAGGUCCCGAGCGUUGUUCGGAAUCACUGGGCGUAAAGGGAGCGUAGGCGGCGCGGUAAGUCAGAUGUGAAAUCCCGGGGCUCAACCCCGGAACUGCAUCCGAUACUGCCGUGCUAGAGCGAUGGAGAGGUAGCUGGAAUUCACGGUGUAGCAGUGAAAUGCGUGGAUAUCGUGAGGAACACUCGUGGCGAAAGCGAGCUACUGGACAUCUGCUGACGCUGAGGCUCGAAGGCCAGGGUAGCGAAAGGG